UUACCUGGUUGAUCCUGCCAGUAGUCAUAUGCUUAUGUCAAAGAUUAAGCCAUGCAUGUCUAAGUACACAGUCUUGUACACUGAAACCGCGGAUGGCUCAUUAUAACAGCUAUGAUUUGAGAGAUUUAAACAUUGCUACAGGCUAACUGUGGUAAUUCUAGAGCUAAUACUUAUAAAGAAAUGUCGUGACAAUGCAAAUUGAAGCGGCGGAUUUAUUAGAUCAAAAUCAACCUUUGUGACUGACGCAAGUUGGUUGCAUGGUUACUUGAUGACUCUGGAUAACUUUACUGAUCGUACGACCUUUGUGUUGACGACAUAUCUCUUGAAAUGGCUGACCUAUCAACUUUCGAUGGUAAGAUCAUUGCUUACCAUGGUUGUAACGGGUAACGGGGAAUCAGGGUUCGAUUCCGGAGAGGGAGCCUGAGAAACGGCUACCACAUCCACGGAAGGCAGCAGGCGCGCAAAUUACCCAAUACCGGCUCGGUGAGGUAGUGACAAUAAAUAACAAUAUGAGCCGUUUACGGUUUCAUAAUUGCAAUGAGAACAUUUUAAAUACUUUAUCAAGUAUCAAUUGGAGGGCAAGUCUGGUGCCAGCAGCCGCGGUAAU
rnacentral:rRNA from 1 species